CCUUGCUUGCCACAUAAGGGAUAAGAAUGAGUUCCUAAAAAAUAGGAACUCAUCUUUAUCCCUUAGCACAUUAAAAAGGGCAUGGGAUUUCGGCCAGCAUUCAUGGUUUUUCUUUGUCAUUCAUGGCAGCAAGACUCCCCUCCUAUUCCUCCUUUCAUCCGCAAGAGAGAAGGGAAGAAAAAGAUUAUGGCGUGGCCCUCAUUCAUCUCUUUCCUUGGUUCCUACGCGGAGAAAAAGAAAAGGCUACGAAGAGCCUUGUUUUCUUCUUCCUAGAUCCCUCUUUCUUCUACCUCCUCUCAAGGCAAUCAAAAGUUGAUUCAAGGGAGAGGACUUCAGCCAUCAAA
rnacentral:lncRNA from 1 species